GAACGGGAUGCUAAUGAAAGCAAUCCAAGGGGAGGCACUUCAAAAGCAAAUCUCCUUUAUUUGCUGACUGAACCCACUUUAGUGCUCAGUUGCUGAUAGAGAAUAAGGAAGGACUGAGUGAACGAGGCUAGCGAAGACCCGGACACACAUAUGUCCUCCCCAUCAACUGCCUUCUUUAUCUUGACCACCUGAGAAGGAUCCCAAAUCCUGAUUCAGAUUUGUUUCUUUGGUGACAUUGGCUACUCUUCUCAAAACCACCAUUUCAAGGCUCAAGAGAAACUGCAGGGCUCUUUCCAGUUUUCUUCCUGGGUGUUUCAGGAUAUGAGAACAUCCCAUUGAAAUAUUUCCACCUCCAUCUACAAAGAAAAGACUUGGAACACCUCUGUCCACUGUCAACUAGACUUGAAUGACCGUGAGUACCUG
rnacentral:lncRNA from 1 species